CCUACGGGUGGCAGCAGUGGGGAAUAUUGGACAAUGGGCGAAAGCCUGAUCCAGCCAUGCCGCGUGUGUGAAGAAGGCCUUCGGGUUGUAAAGCACUUUCAGUGGGGAAGAAAGCCUUGGGGCUAAUACCCUCGAGGAAGGACAUCACCCACAGAAGAAGCACCGGCUAACUCCGUGCCAGCAGCCGCGGUAAUACGGAGGGUGCGAGCGUUAAUCGGAAUUACUGGGCGUAAAGCGCGCGUAGGCGGUCUGAUAAGCCGGUUGUGAAAGCCCCGGGCUCAACCUGGGUACGGCAUCCGGAACUGUCAGGCUAGAGUGCAGGAGAGGAAGGUAGAAUUCCCGGUGUAGCGGUGAAAUGCGUAGAGAUCGGGAGGAAUACCAGUGGCGAAGGCGGCCUUCUGGACUGACACUGACGCUGAGGUGCGAAAGCGUGGGUAGCAAACAGGAUUAGAUACCCCGGUAGUC
rnacentral:rRNA from 1 species